rnacentral:rRNA from 1 species
GUGUGUGAAGAAGGCCCUCGGGUUGUAAAGCACUUUCAGCGAGGAAGAACGCCUAGCGGUUAAUACCCGCUAGGAAAGACAUCACUCGCAGAAGAAGCACCGGCUAACUCCGUGCCAGCAGCCGCGGUAAUACGGAGGGUGCAAGCGUUAAUCGGAAUUACUGGGCGUAAAGCGCGCGUAGGUGGCUUGAUAAGCCGGUUGUGAAAGCCCCGGGCUCAACCUGGGAACGGCAUCCGGAACUGUCAAGCUAGAGUGCAGGAGAGGAAGGUAGAAUUCCCGGUGUAGCGGUGAAAUGCGUAGAGAUCGGGAGGAAUACCAGUGGCGAAGGCGGCCUUCUGGACUGACACUGACACUGAGGUGCGAAAGCGUGGGUAGCAAACAGGAUUAGAUACCCUGGUAGUCCACGCCGUAAACGAUGUCGACCAGCCGUUGGGUGCCUAGCGCACUUUGUGGCGAAGUUAACGCGAUAAGUCGACCGCCUGGGGAGUACGGCCGCAAGGUUAAAACUCAAAUGAAUUGACGGGGGCCCGCACAAGCGGUGGAGCAUGUGGUUUAAUUCGAUGCAACGCGAAGAACCUUACCUACUCUUGACAUCCUGCGAAUUUGGUAGAGAUACCUUAGUGCCUUCGGGAACGCAGAGACAGGUGCUGCAUGGCUGUCGUCAGCUCGUGUUGUGAAAUGUUGGGUUAAGUCCCGUAACGAGCGCAACCCUUGUCCUUAUUUGCCAGCGCGUAAUGGCGGGAACUCUAAGGAGACUGCCGGUGACAAACCGGAGGAAGGUGGGG